AAUAUUAUGCUGCGAAGCCGAAUCGAUUGGAUAAAAAAUAAAUAGCGCGACGGGACGAACAUCGUAAUAUUAUACGAACGAAAUGCUCGCGUUGGGUAUGAGUGGGUAUCAGUGAAAACCACGCCGGGCAAAGAUCACCGUCUCGCGACUACGAGAACAAUGACAGGCUGCUUGAUAAGACGUUUCUGAUGCAUUUCGGUGUAAUUAAUUCGGAUAAAAAACGCUGUU